ensembl:snRNA U6 U6 spliceosomal RNA
GUGCUGGGAUUACAGGCAUGAGCCACCUCACCUGGCAGCACAUAUACUAAAAUUGGAAUGAUACAGAGAAGAUUAGCAUGGCCCCUGCACAAGGAUGACACCCAAAUUUGUGAAGCCUUCCAUAUUUAA